UCAGAAACAAUUGAGCCUCACUGACAUGG
rnacentral:piRNA from 1 species